CCCGCUGAACUUAAGCAUAUCAAUAAGCGGAGGAAAAGAAACCAACCGGGAUUGCCUCAGUAACGGCGAGUGAAGCGGCAAGAGCUCAAAUUUGAAAUCUGGCCCCUUCCCCGGGGUCCGAGUUGUAAUUUGGAGAGGAUGCUUCGGGUCCGGUCCCGGUCCAAGUGCCCUGGGAUGGGCCGUCGGAGAGGGUGAGAAUCCCGUCUGCGACCGGUGGCUGGGCCUGGGUGAAGCUCCCUCGACGAGUCGAGUUGUUUGGGAAUGCAGCUCUAAAUGGGUGGUAAAUUUCAUCUAAAGCUAAAUAUGGGCCGGAGACCGAUAGCGCACAAGUAGAGUGAUCGAAAGAUGAAAAGCACUUUGGAAAGAGAGUCAAACAGCACGUGAAAUUGUUGAAAGGGAAGCGCUUGCGAUCAGACUCGCCCGGGGGGGUUCAGCCGGCACUUGUGCCGGUGCAUUGCUGCCCGGGCGGGCCAGCGUCGGUUUGGACGGCCCGUCAAAGGCCCCCGGAAGGUAGCGCCCCGCAUGGGGCGUCUUAUAGCCGGGGGUGCCAUGCGGCCUGUCCGGACCGAGGAACGCGCCUUCGGGCUCGGACGCUGGCGUAAUGGUCGUAAGCGGCCCGUCUUGAAACACGG
rnacentral:rRNA from 1 species